UACGUAGGGUGCGAGCGUUGUCCGGAAUUAUUGGGCGUAAAGGGCUCGUAGGCGGUUUGUCGCGUCUGCUGUGAAAACCUAAGGCUCAACCUUGGGCUUGCAGUGGGUACGGGCAGACUAGAGUGCGGUAGGGGUGACUGGAAUUCCUGGUGUAGCGGUGGAAUGCGCAGAUAUCAGGAGGAACACCGAUGGCGAAGGCGGCUGACUGGACAUGUAUUGACGCUGAGGUGCGAAAGCGUGGGGAGCGAACAGG
rnacentral:rRNA from 1 species